rnacentral:lncRNA from 1 species
GUUCUCUACCGAAACUGUCUCUAUCUCAUUCCAGAGGACUAUUAACCAGGGUCUCUAGGUCUUCAUCAGUUCUUCCAGAGAUACAAACUACCAGAAAUUCAGUUUCCUCAUUUCCUUCUAGAGUUGACGCUGUUAAUUUAAAAUCUAGGAUUCCUCAAUCCAAAUAUUUAGUGGAAACACCUCUAACUAAAAUCCAUGACGACAAACCCCAAUCUCCAACUUACUUGGCCUUAGGUGCAGAGCUAGG